UAUUUAAACAGUUUGGUACUUUACAGUUAGACUGCAGCCUUCAGUUCAAACUGGCUGUUUGAUGUUGAAACGGUGACGGCAUGGAAAGUGAUCAACAUGUUUAUUGGAAGCUUACAUCCCUGCUUCUUACACAUAAAUGCAAAUAUAUUACAUAACAAAACAAAUCAAGACCAACUUUUAAUACAAAAAAAAAAAAAAUCUAUACUGGCAAUAAUCUGGUUGUUCAUUUGCUUUUGAAUUACAAAGACGAAUGGUGGGUGAAAUUUAUUACAAUAACAUUUGAGUGUGACUGACUCAGGCUGCAUUCCAUUCUGAUGGGGUAGUGUUCUAUGUUUGCAUGCUGUGGCUCAUUCAAUAGCAAAUUUUCACAUGUGUGAAUUCUUCAAUUAGUCAUCUAUAUGUCAAAAAAAAAAAAAAUAAUAAAAGGCCAUUAUAAUUCCAGAGCUAUAAGCAAUAUCUUAAAUGGCUUGUUUCCUCUCCCCCCCCCCCCCCCCCCCCCCCAAAAAAAACAAGCAAAAAUGUUUCAAAUUUACAAUAAUGUACAUUAGAGAAAAAACAUCAAUAUGCAACAGGCUGGAAAUAGAAAAUUUGAUAUUUUCAGGUAAAUGCUUAAUUUUAAACAUUUUGGUGGUGGGGGUGGUCAUCUUUUUACCUGACAGAAAUUCAAUUAGUGAGCGCAUGAUUAUAAUGCAACAAAUCUACUAGAAUGCAAACACUUAUCACGUAAUUAAUGUAAUGAGGUUGGGCAAGUUAAACACACACAGUAAAGUGCUUCUUGUUGCCCCCGAGGCAAAAAAACAAAACAAAACAAAACAAAAUCAUUAAAACAUGUAACAGACUGUCAGUCAGGGGCUUGUUCUGUAAAAUGCACCUCCAGCUUGCAUUCAUUUGAUAACCAACCGCACUGGAGAGGUUAAGCAUAUGA